GCUGUGUGUGUUUUUUGUUUGGGUUCAUACAUUUGUCUCUUUGAUAUUCGAUUUGUUCGUGUACGAACUGUCUUCUGAAUUUCUGGUCCGCUGUUGAACCAAAUUGGUUUGGUACAUAUUCCACUCUUUCAAGGCUUAAGACCAAAAAAGUAAAAUCAGAUACAAUGAACAUGUAUGUUUAAAUUUCAUACGCACACAAUAUAUUGAUUCAGAA
rnacentral:lncRNA from 1 species